rnacentral:snoRNA from 1 species
AUCCUUUUUUGAUUCAUAAGCGUGAUGAUUGGGAAUUCACGCCAGUGCAUGAUGUGUGCCGUCCACUAAACCUUGUUACAUCAUUGGCACAUUAACCGUCUGAAA